rnacentral:rRNA from 1 species
AGAUUGAACGCUGGCGGCAUGCUUUACACAUGCAAGUCGAACGGCAGCACGGGAGCAAUCCUGGUGGCGAGUGGCGAACGGGUGAGUAAUACAUCGGAACGUGCCCAAUCGUGGGGGAUAACGCAGCGAAAGCUGUGCUAAUACCGCAUAAGAUCUACGGAUGAAAGCGGGGGAUCGCAAGACCUCGCGCGAUUGGAGCGGCUGAUAUCAGAUUAGGUUGUUGGUGAGGUAAAAGCUCACCAAGCCGACGAUCUGUAGCUGGUUUGAGAGAACGACCAGCCACACUGGGACUGAGACACGGCCCAGACUCCUACGGGAGCAGCAGUGGGAAUUUUGGACAAUGGGCGAAAGCCUGAUCCAGCAAUGCCGCGUGCAGGAAGAAGGCCUUCGGUUGUAAACUGCUUUUGUACGGAACGAAAGGCUCUUUACUAAUAAGAGGCCCAUGACGUACGUAAGAAUAAGCACGGCUAACUACGUGCCAGACG